rnacentral:rRNA from 1 species
GAUGAACGCUAGCGGCAGGCUUAAUACAUGCAAGUCGUGGGGCAGCAGGUUUGUAGCAAUACAGAUGCUGGCGACCGGCAAACGGGUGCGGAACACGUACAGAACCUUCCUUUGAGCGGGGAAUAGCCCAGAGAAAUUUGGAUUAAUACCCCAUAGUAUAAUGAAGUGGCAUCACUUUAUUAUUAAAGAUUUAUCACUCGAAGAUGGCUGUGCGGCUGAUUAGGUAGUUGGCGGGGUAAAGGCCCACCAAGCCUGCGAUCAGUAACUGUGUGAGAGCACGACCAGUCACACGGGCACUGAGACACGGGCCCGACUCCUACGGGAGGCAGCAGUAAGGAAUAUUGGUCAAUGGAGGCAACUCUGAACCAGCCAUGCCGCGUGGAGGAUGAAGGUCCUCUGGAUUGUAAACUUCUUUAUAUGGACGAAAAAGGCUUUCUAAGUCGUCUGACGGUACCAUAUGAAUAAGCACCGGCUAACUCCGUGCCAGCAGCCG